CCUACGGGAGGCUGCAGUAGGGAAUAUUGCUCAAUGGGGGAAACCCUGAAGCAGCAACGCCGCGUGGGGGAUGAAGGUUUUCGGAGUGUAAACCCCUUUUGGCAGAGAAGAUAAUGACGGUAUCUAACGAAUAAGCACCCGCUAACUCCGUAACAGCAGCCGCGGUAAUACGGAGGGGGCAAGCGGUACUCGGAAUCACUGGGCGUAAAGCGCGCGGAGGCGGGAUAGCAAGUCAGGUGUGAAAUCCUAGGGCUUAACCAUAGAACUGCAUUUGAAACUGUUAUUCUAGAGUAUGGGAGAGGUAGGUGGAAUUCUUGGUGUAGCGGUGAAAUCCGUAGAGAUCAAGAGGAAUACUCAUUGCGAAGGCGACCUGCUAGAACAUAACUGACGCUGAUGCGCGAAAGCGUGGGGAGCAAACAGGAUUAGAUACCCGGGUAGUC
rnacentral:rRNA from 1 species